rnacentral:lncRNA from 1 species
GAUUUGUAUAAGAAAACAAUAAUAAUUUCACCAUAAAAAUGUGGAUAAUACAAUUUUCAAUAAGUGUGAAAAGCUGGAAUUAGCUGUGUUCAUCAUAGGUGACCACCUUUAGUUUCAAGCAAUUGUUUGCAGUCUUGAGAGGCAGAAAUACUGCACAGUAAAGGGCCAGCAAAGUUUGUUGAAGAACUUAUCUUCAAGCAGCCAAAAUCCAGGACUCAGUGAGGAUGAGGAGCAGUUAGCAGGGACUGCAAGUGAUGGGACAUGCUUAGCUGGAGCCAACAAGAGGAACAGCUAGCGGAGCCAGAACAGCUAUAUAAAGCAGCGAGCUGCAGUCAGUGGCUCCCACUACAGCUUAGCUGCAGCUCAGAAGAACCAUCUGCUGCCCUGUAGCUGAGUGGUGGGGGCCCCAAACUGUCAGCUGUGCAGAGAGUUUCCAGAUCUGAGAGGAGCAAUAGUCUGCUGUAGUGACACUUCAGAAGACAAUGAGAGAUGGCUUUGACACAGGUACACACCUCUCAAAUUGCAGCAGAGAAGACCGUGGUUCACCACCAUGACACACCAGACAACCAGAGCAUCAUCCCUUCCCAACAGCUGUGCCUUGCCACUAGGUCAGACUGCAGCACUCCUUUUCAGCAUGAAAGCAGGGUGAGUGUUUUUCAAUCUCUUCUGGAUGUGUCCCGUGUCUGUGCAUUACAGGCACUCAGUGUUUACGCAACACCCAGCAUCUUCAAAGCUUGUUAUAAAGUAUUCAGCUUGUCAGUCCUCGGAACACACCGGAGAGGUGUUAUUACAGACAUGAAGAAACCUUCUCAGAGGAUCUAUUUGGACAGGUGGUGCUGGAGAUGUGAUUAUAAUCUAGUUGUGUGGAGGCCAAAGUCUCACUUAUUUACACCAGUGUCAGAUUAUGGAAUAAUUCUGUUUCUCUCAGGUACUGAUCUGAGAUGCUGAUAGAUCAGGUGCAUCAUGAUGUUGGUGAUAUCAAACUUUUUAACAACAAUAAAGAAAAAACGAAAGUGCCA